rnacentral:rRNA from 1 species
UACGGGGGGGGCAAGCGUUGUUCGGAAUUACUGGGCGUAAAGGGCUCGUAGGCGGCCAACUAAGUCGGAUGUGAAAUCCCCAGGCUUAACCUGGGAACUGCAUCCGAUACUGGAUGGCUUGAAUCCGGGAGAGGGAAGCGGAAUUCCUGGUGUAGCGGUGAAAUGCGCAGAUAUCAGGAGGAACACCGGUGGCGAAGGCGGGUCUCCUGGGCCGAUACUGACGCUGAGAAGCGAAGACUGGGGAGCGAACAGG